rnacentral:rRNA from 1 species
UGCCAGCAGCCGCGGUAAUACGGGAGUGGCAAGUGUUAUUCAAAAUUACUGGGCGUAAAGAGUACGUAGGCGGCUUAUUAAGUUAUAUGUUAAAUCCCUAGGCAUAACCUAGGAAAAAUAUGUAAAACAAGUAAGCUAGAAUUAGAUAGGGGAUAGUGGAAUUUCUCAUGUAGGGUUAAGUUCCGUAGAUAUGAGAAGGAACAUCGGAAGCGAAGGCGACUAUCUGGAUCUAUAUUGACGCUGAGGUACGAAGGCGUAGGGAGCAAAGGGGAUUAGAUA